rnacentral:lncRNA from 1 species
CCGACAUUGCCGCUUGUGUAACUGUCAUUGGAUGGGAUUUUGAAUGUUAAUGCCUGACUGGGUACAUACACUGUCCAUCAAAUGAAACCGGAAGAAAGGUUACAUAUCAAAACAAUGUGUAAGGAAGUAUAGUGGUGUGUCCUUACCGAGCUGUUACGGUGAGUGUAUUGUGGCAUGAUAUUCUAACUGUUGUCUGGUUUGAAACGCCGGUUGUUUAUUUGCAUGUGUUGUAGCAGGCUAGUGAACGUGACAUGAACCUAACCUUCAGCCAAUAAUGUUAUCUUGUUGUGAACCGUUUCCUCAGCCAUGCCAACUUCCCCGGUAAAGACUCGGAUCCCGCUCACGAGCUUCGGUCAUCUGAUCACCGAGGUGAAGAGACAGUUGUUUGGUAUGGAGGCUCCAGCUACUGUUAACCUGACUGGCUGGAGGAGACAUUUCAACAGCUACACACUACAGGGCCGACGCAACGUAAGAUACUCACACACUCUCACACACACACUCACACUCACACACACACACACACACACACACACACACACACUAGCUGCUGCUGCCAUAGCUCUAGAAGAGUAUUAUACUGCUGACAUAACCUCUCUCUGUCUCUUUUUCUCUCUCUCUAGUUUGUCCUGGCUACCUAUGGUGUCCUAGCGUUGUCAGCAGCAGCCUAUAUGAUACACAAACGGAGUAAAGAGGACCCCAGAGUAGCCAGCCCCACUGCCUGACUGACACCCUCUCUCAAUGUCCAACGCUUUAUUGACCUGAUAUUCACAUUGUUUUCCAAUACUACCAAAUCAGAGAUUCAUAACAGCAGCGCUCUCCCUCUCUUCCGCUCUCUCUCUCUCCCUCCCUCUCUCCCUCCCUCUCUUCCGCUCCCUCCCUCCCUCUCGCUCUCUCUCUCAAUGUUAAUAAAUAGAAUUUAAUCCAGUCACGAUGUCUCUGUGUCGUCUUGGUUUAAUCUCUAACCCAGAAUAGAACAGAGCAGAAUCCAUUCUGGUAUUCAGACUAACCGGUAACCAUGACAACACCCUACUGGGAGCUCCAGGCUGUAGCGUGUAUGUCUGGCCACAGGGUGGCGCUGGGGAGAG